GAUGAACGCUGGCGGCGUGCCUAAUACAUGCAAGUCGAGCGAACAGACGAGGAGCUUGCUCCUCUGACGUUAGCGGCGGACGGGUGAGUAACACGUGGAUAACCUACCUAUAAGACUGGGAUAACUUCGGGAAACCGGAGCCAAUACCGGAGAAUAUAUUGAACCGCAUGGUUCAAUAGUGAAAGACGGUUUUGCUGUCACUUAUAGAUGGAUCCGCGCCGCAUUAGCUAGUUGGUAAGGUAACGGCUUACCAAGGCAACGAUGCGUAGCCGACCUGAGAGGGUGAUCGGCCACACUGGAACUGAGACACGGUCCAGACUCCUACGGGAGGCAGCAGUAGGGAAUCUUCCGCAAUGGGCGAAAGCCUGACGGAGCAACGCCGCGUGAGUGAUGAAGGUCUUCGGAUCGUAAAACUCUGUUAUUAGGGAAGAACAAAUGUGUAAGUAACUAUGCACGUCUUGACGGUACCUAAUCAGAAAGCCACGGCUAACUACGUG
rnacentral:rRNA from 1 species